rnacentral:lncRNA from 1 species
AGAGUUCAAAUUACAAAAAACAAAAAAUAAUUAAAAAAAUGAGCCAGUUGUUAAUAGCCAGCCCAGGACAGACUGUUUGACAGUUGAUUGGACAGUCGGCCUAAACUGAUGAGCUUACUUCACUUUUUUCAAUAAAAUCCAUUCAAUACUCCUAAAUCUACCUAAAUAAUGUCUUAUAAGCAUCAAAAUAAGAAUUUAAUACACAAAUUCACAAAAUAAAUAAAAUGAAAAAUCA